UACGAAGGGGGCUAGCGUUGUUCGGAAUCACUGGGCGUAAAGCGCACGUAGGCGGCUUUCUAAGUCAGGGGUGAAAUCCUGGAGCUCAACUCCAGAACUGCCUUUGAUACUGGAGAGCUUGAGUCCGGAAGAGGUGAGUGGAACUCCGAGUGUAGAGGUGAAAUUCGUAGAUAUUCGCAAGAACACCAGUGGCGAAGGCGGCUCACUGGCCCGAUACUGACGCUGAGGCACGAAAGCGUGGGGAGCAAACAGG
rnacentral:rRNA from 1 species